rnacentral:rRNA from 1 species
UAUGUGAUCGUCUCUCGCAUAUCAAUAAGCGGAGGAAAAGAAACUAACAAGGAUUCCCCUAGUAACGGCGAGUGAAGCGGGAAGAGCUCAAAUUUGAAAUCUUAAAGGGUUUCCCUUUACGAAUUGUAGUUUAAAGAAGUGUUUUCUGUUGAGGUUUUGGUAAAAGUUCUUUGGAAUAGGACAUCAUAGAGGGUGAGAAUCCCGUAUUUGACCUUUACUUUCAACUUUGUGAUACACUUUCAAAGAGUCGGAUUGUUUGGGAAUGCAGUCCAAAAUGGGUGGUAAAUUUCAUCUAAAGCUAAAUAUUGGCGAGAGACCGAUAGCGAACAAGUACCGUGAGGGAAAGAUGAAAAGAACUUUGAAAAGAGAGUUAAACAGUACGUGAAAUUGUCAAAAGGGAAGCGUUUGACACCAGUGUUGUUUUUCUGAAAAUCAAUUAAAGAACUGUUUAUGCUAAGUUGUUUAGACUUUAUCAGCUAUCUGUUUAGUUUUGAGCUUUUCUUUAAUGCACUUUUCAGUUAACAAGUCAACAUCAAUUUCUUUUGCUGUAAAAAAGCUUGAGGAAGGUGGCUUGAGAUUCGUCCUUAAGUGUUUAUAGCCUCUUGCCUAUGCAGUCGGAGAGAUAGAGGUCUGCAGCGUAGAUCCUUCGGGGCUAAAUGCAUUUGUGCUAAGUUAUAGCAUUUUAUAGACAACUUGUUGACUAUGAUUUGUCUUGUAGCUUACUCGCUUAUGUUAUUUUACCUACGCUUAGGAUGUUGACACACGCGCGUGCUCG